UGCUGUAAAUAGUUUUGUCUUUGGUUAAAGUACCUUUUGCAUCAUGAUUCUUUGAGAUGUUUAGAUUAUUUCUAGUUCCCGAAUGGCUUAUGAUUUUCAUUGAUUCAUAGCAAGUUUGUGCAUAGAUAAGUUGUUGUGUAAACAUUUGUAGAAAUCAUUGAGGUUGUGAUAAAUAAUUCGUAUAGUCUGAUAACUGGUUUAUAGCUUGAUUAUUUCAACGAAAUAAAGAUUGAUUGUGUUUAUCUUUACUGAUAGAGAUAGUUUAUAUGUUGUUGUUGAGUCUUGGAUUAGAAUUGUCCUAGGAUAAGUUAGUUACUUACUUGACAUUUUAUUUGUAUGUUUUCUUAUUGUUGAUGGCUAUAUUCUUAAUUAUUUGUUUAAUAAUGAAGAAAUGAGUAGGAUUAUGUUUUAUUAGUCCGUUAUUUGUCUUUAAUUCUGUUCAACUGUUUAUCAAAAACAUUGCUAUUUGUUGGAUUUAAAUAGUAUGGCCUGCCCAAUGUUGUAAAUUAAUGGUCGCAGUUUUACUGUGCUAAGGUAGCAUAAUAUAUCGCUUCUUAAUUAGUGGCUUGUGAAUGGUUUAAUGAAAUAGAAUAUUUAAAUGAUGACAAUAUCUGAAAUUGAUUUAGUGGUGCGGAAUCCAUUGUUAUAAUAUAA
rnacentral:rRNA from 1 species